rnacentral:rRNA from 1 species
GGGAGGCAGCAGUGGGGAAUAUUGGACAAUGGGCGCAAGCCUGAUCCAGCCAUGCCGCGUGAGUGAAGAAGGCCCUCGGGUUGUAAAGCUCUUUUGUUGGGAAAGAAAAGCAGCCGGCCAAUACCCGGUUGUUCUGACGGUACCCAAAGAAUAAGCACCGGCUAACUUCGUGCCAGCAGCCGCGGUAAUACGAAGGGUGCAAGCGUUACUCGGAAUUACUGGGCGUAAAGCGUGCGUAGGUGGUUUGUUAAGUCUGAUGUGAAAGCCCUGGGCUCAACCUGGGAAUUGCAUUGGAUACUGGCAGGCUAGAGUGCGGUAGAGGAUGGCGGAAUUCCCGGUGUAGCAGUGAAAUGCGUAGAGAUCGGGAGGAACAUCCGUGGCGAAGGCGGCCAUCUGGACCAGCACUGACACUGAGGCACGAAAGCGUGGGGAGCAAACAGGAUUAGAUACCCUGGUAGUCCACGCCCUAAACGAUG